rnacentral:rRNA from 1 species
AUGGGUCGUGCAAACGCAGGCAGCCUCGCCGAAGCGUGCUUGCCGGAGCAUCAAUCGACGGACUCAUACCAGCGCCUUGCUCGGGAUUACCCAAACGAGGGGGAAAUUCUGGACGAGCGUAGCGCGGUAAUCGUCGACAUCGACGACGCCGAGGCUAGAGCAGCUCGACUGCUGACGAGGGGGAGGGGCUGGAAAGAGGGAGCUCGCGCCCGCACGCUUUCUGCCCUUUCUUCGAGCGGCGGACGGAUGGCGAUCAUACCGUACGGGCCGUCGGGAAGGAUCUGGUGCCACCAGCGGUGA